UGGGGGAUAUUGCACAAUGGGCGAAAGCCUGAUGCAGCGACGCCGCGUGGGGGAUGAAGGCCUUCGGGUUGUAAACUUCUUUUGCUCUGAACAAGGCGCACCAUGGGGUGUGUUGAGUGUAGGGGUUGAUUAGCGCCGGCUAACUACGUGCCAGCAGCCGCGGUAAUACGUAGGGAGCGAGCGUUGUCCGGAAUUAUUGGGCGUAAAGGGCUUGUAGGUGGCUGGUUGCGUCUGUCGUGAAAGCUCAUGGCUUAACUGUGGGUUUGCGGUGGGUACGGGCUGGCUUGAGUGCAGUAGGGGAGGCUGGAAUUCCUGGUGUAGCGGUGGAAUGCGCAGAUAUCAGGAGGAAUACCGGUGGCGAAGGCGGGUCUCUGGGCUGUUACUGACACUGAGGAGCGAAAGCAUGGGGAGCGAACAGG
rnacentral:rRNA from 1 species